GAUUGUUUAGUUUAAUAUAAAAUAAAUGUCUUGAAAACAUUAGAAAAGAAAUCAUCUUCUUAACAAUCG
rnacentral:tRNA from 1 species